rnacentral:snRNA from 1 species
CGGCGGGUAGAAUCCUUU